UCUCCUGACUACCUUCGAGAGUGACUGC
rnacentral:piRNA from 1 species